rnacentral:rRNA from 1 species
CGUAGUUAUAUGUGACUAUGCUUUCAAUCAGCUUUGCUAUUGCGGAGUAGAGUGGCAGCUUUGGCUGCCAAGGGUCGAUUCAUCUGGGAAAUAAUGUAUAUUUCGGUAUGCAUCUCAGUUGGACCUGAUAUCAGGCAAGAUUACCCGCUGAACUCAAGCAUAUUAAUAAGCGGAGGAAAAUAACUAACAAGGAUUCCCCUAGUAACGGCGAUUGAAGCGGGAUGAGCUCAAGAUUAAAAUCUCCGUGCAAUUUUUGCGCGGCGAAUUGUAGUCUAUAGAAGCGUGAUCAGUAUGGGCACUUGGGUCAAGUUCCUGGGAAGAACACAGCAUGGAGGGUGAUACUCCCAUUCGUCCCCAAGUUGCUUGUGCGUACGACGUGUUUUCUUUGAGUCGCGUUGUUUGAGAAUGCAGCGCAAAGUAGGUGGUAAAUUCCAUCUAAAAGUAAAUAUUGGUGCGAGACCGAUAGCAUACAAGUACCGUGAGGGAAAGAUGAAAAGAACUUUGAGAAUAGAGUUAAAGAGUACCUGAAACUGCUGAAAGGUAACCAAAUCGUUUCCAGUGUCUAUAAUCCGUGGUAUAUUUCAUUGGUGAGUGUAUGCGUGCGUGUGCUGUUGUAGUGGCCUUUUUGGCUGCGCUCGGCGUGUGUGCUGUGUGUGCUUGCUGGUGCCCUGUGCUGUGGUGGGACGUCAAGGUCAGUUCGUAUGCUGCGGGAAAUGGCCACUGAGGAGGUAGGGCUUACGCUUGCGUUUGUCUGUUACUUCUUGGUGGACGAGUAGUCGCGGUUGGGACUGAGGUGCCUACAACGUGCUUUUGAGUGGACUUGGGUCUCCGUGUGCGCCGUGUGCGGAUAGCUUGCUAUGCGUGUGUGGCUGUGUAUGGAUUGAUGCGAGUCGUAACUUGUAGCCAUUCGGGACGUUGACGAAAUGGAGCGAUUUGACCCGUCUUGAAACACAGACCAAGGAGUCUAACAAAUGUGCAAGUGUUAGGGUGUGGAAACCCCAGCGCGUAAUGAAAGUAAAGGAUAGCGUAAGCUGUCUGAGGUAGGAACUGCUGCGGACUUCGGUUUGCGGCGUGGCACUAUCGACCGAUCAUGACACCUCGUGGUGAAAGAUUUGAGUUCGAGCACGUAUGUUGGUACCCGAAAGAUGGUGAACUAUGCCUGAGUAGGGUGAAGCAAGGGGAAACUCUGGUGGAAGCUCGUAGCGAUUCUGACGUGCAAAUCGAUCGUUGAACAGGGGCGAAAGACUAAUCGAACCAUCUUGUAGCUAGUUCCCUCCGAAAUUUCCCUCAGGAUAGCAGCAACUUAUUUACGAUAGUUUUAUGAGGUCAAGCGAAUGAUUAGAGGUUUCGGGGAAGAAACUUCCUCGACCUAUUCUCAAACUUUAAGUUUUUAAGACCUGCAGGUUUCUUGAUUGAAUUUGCGGAUGUGAAUAUCAAGUUGCUAGUGGGCCAUACGGGGUAAACUCGUCUGGGAUGCGGGAUGAACUGAACGCAAAGUCAAAGGGCCAAAAUACUCGCUCACCUAGAUACCAUAAAAGGUGUUGGUUUAUUUAGACAGCAGGACAAUGGCCAUGGAAGUCGAAAUCCGCUAAGGAGUGUGUAACAACUCACCUGCCGGAUGAAUUAGCCCUGAAAAUGGAUGGCGCUGAAGCGAGUUACUUAUACUUUUGCCGUUAACACGAUAGCAGUUUUAAUGUAAGUGUUAAUGGGUAGGAGGGCGUGAAGGUCGUUAUGAAGCUUGUGGCGUGAGCCUAAGUGAAACGGCCUUAGUGCAGAUCUUGGUGGUAGUAGCAAAUAUUCAAAUGCGAACUUUGAAGACUGAAGUGGGGAAAAGUUCCGUGUGAUCAGUAAUUGGACACGGGUGAGUCGAUCCUAAAAGAUAGAAAAAUUCUAUUUGAAAGCUUGGCUGUUUGAGGCGUGGGGUUCGUGCUUGCGUUUUGUAUGCGGCCUCGUGUAUCAAAAGGGAAUAAGGUUAAUAUUCCUGAACCGAGACGUGGAUAGAAUGUGGUAACACUACCGAACCAGGAGACGCUAGCGUGAGCCCAGGGGAAAGUUCUCUUUUCUUUUUAACAAGCAUGUCCUGCCUUGGAAUCGGAUUAUCCGGCGAUAACGAGGAUGCCUUGGCAAAGCACUUUCAUUUUUGAAAUGUCCUGCGCGCCCUUGAAAAUCCUGGCUAGAGAUUUAUUCGCACCCUCGUUCGUACUCAUAACCGCAUCAGGUCUCCAAGGUCAGCAGCCUCUAGUUGAUAGAAGAAUGUAGAUAAGGGAAGUCGGCAACAUAGAUCCGUAACUUCGGGAAAAGGAUUGGCUCUGAGGGUUGGGCCUAAGGGUCUUGUCGGAAAGCUUGUGGCGGCCUACGUUGGGCUGCGUCUGGACCUUUCGAGGAUCGGAUGCGGCCUGAUGGUCGGGCUGCUCUUGCUAUAUUCGAUAGAAAGGUGGUUGGUUUUCGGACCGACUGCUGUUUCCUUAGUGCGUUGAACAACCGGCUCAGAACUGGAGCGGACAAGGGGAAUCCGACUGUUUAAUUAAAACAAAGCAUUGUGAUGGCCGGAGACGGUGUUGACACAAUGUGAUUUCUGCCCAGUGCUCUGAAUGUCAAAGUGAAGAAAUUCAACCAAGCGCGGGUAAACGGCGGGAGUAACUAUGACUCUCUUAAGGUAGCCAAAUGCCUCGUCAUCUAACUAGUGACGCGCAUGAAUGGAUUAAUGAGAUUCCCACUGUCCCUAUCUACUGUCUAGCGAACCCACAGCCAAGGGAACGGGCUUGGAAUAAUCAGCGGGGAAAGAAGACCCUGUUGAGCUUGACUCUAGUCUGACGUUGUGAAAUGACUUGAGAGGUGUAGAAUAAGUGAGAGGCUUUGCCGUCCGUUAAAUACCACUACUUCCAAUGUUGUUUCACUUAUACCAUGGUGUAACAAUUGUGCGGCUUCGCGGCCGUUAGGUUCUAAAAAUAAGCUUGAGCUUUGCUCGAGCGAGUUACGUGGAAUACAUCGUCAAGCGGGGAGUUUGGCUGGAAAAAUUGGAAGUUCAUUAACUUUUCCGGUUAUUCCUAAGCUAAAAAUUACGCUAUGAUAGUAAACUAAAAUAUAAAACCUUGGCCAUGGUUCCCAUGGUACUUACACAUCCAGACGACUUUGCCGUAGUGUGUAGGCUUAUCGAUGCUCAACAGCAACGAAGUACACAGUGAAGUACUUCAAACGCUGAGUGGCGGAGAGACUAACGAUCUGGACCAGUGAGUGGCGCGGACGGAAUCGCAGUGAAUAAAACCCAAAACUCGCUUAGUACAGUCGCACUUGUGUGGCUAUAACAAGCUUGAGUUGCGGGUAAAUCUCUGCUUGAAUUCUUGAUGCUUCGAUAUUGACGGGUGUGUGAUUAUUAGCCCAUGGUCUCAAAGCCGUGUCGUUAAAAAUUGUAUGCCAGUCCGAGUGUGG